rnacentral:rRNA from 1 species
AUUGAACGCUGGCGGCAGGCCUAACACAUGCAAGUCGAGCGGCAGCGACAWCAWYRAYCCUUCGGGUGAUUUGUUGGGCGGCGAGCGGCGGACGGGUGAGUAAUGCCUGGGAACAUGCCUUAGUGUGGGGGAUAACCAUUGGAAACGAUGGCUAAUACCGCAUAAUSUCUWCGGASCAAAGCGGGGGACCUUCGGGCCUCGCGCGCUAAGAUUGGCCCAGGUGGGAUUAGCUAGUAGGUGGGGUAACGGCUCACCUAGGCGACGAUCCCUAGCUGGUCUGAGAGGAUGAUCAGCCACACUGGAACUGAGACACGGUCCAGACUCCUACGGGAGGCAGCAGUGGGGAAUAUUGCACAAUGGGGGACACCCUGAUGCAGCCAUGCCGCGUGUGUGAAGAAGGCCUUCGGGUUGUAAAGCACUUUCAGCAGUGAGGA